rnacentral:rRNA from 1 species
UGAGGAAUAUUGGUCAAUGGGCGAGAGCCUGAACCAGCCAAGUAGCGUGCAGGACGACGGCCCUAUGGGUUGUAAACUGCUUUUGUAUGGGGAUAAAGUCAAUCACGUGUGAUUGUUUGCAGGUACCAUACGAAUAAGGACCGGCUAAUUCCGUGCCAGCAGCCGCGGUAAUACGGAAGGUUCGGGCGUUAUCCGGAUUUAUUGGGUUUAAAGGGAGCGUAGGCCGGAGAUUAAGUGUGUUGUGAAAUGUAGACGCUCAACGUCUGACUUGCAGCGCAUACUGGUUUCCUUGAGUACGCACAACGUUGGCGGAAUUCGUCGUGUAGCGGUGAAAUGCUUAGAUAUGACGAAGAACUCCGAUUGCGAAGGCAGCUGACGGGAGCGCCACUGACGCUUAAGCUCGAAGGUGCGGGUAUCGAACAGGAUUAGAUACCCUGGUAGUCCGCACAGUAAACGAUGGAUGCCCGCUGUUGGUACCUGGUAUCAGCGGCUAAGCGAAAGCAUUAAGCAUCCCACCUGGGGAGUACGCCGGCAACGGUG